AGAGUUUGAUCCUGGCUCAGAUUGAACGCUGGCGGCAUGCCUAACACAUGCAAGUCGAACGGAAACGAUGGGAGCUUGCUCCCAGGCGUCGAGUGGCGGACGGGUGAGUAAUACUUAGGAAUCUGCCCAUUAGUGGGGGACAACUCGGGGAAACUCGAGCUAAUACCGCAUACGCCCUACGGGGGAAAGCGGAGGACCUUUCGGGGCUUCGCGCUAUUGGAUGAGCCUAAGCCGGAUUAGCUAGUUGGUAGGGUAAAAGCCUACCAAGGCGACGAUCCGUAGCUGGUUUGAGAGGACGAUCAGCCACACUGGGACUGAGACACGGCCCAGACUCCUACGGGAGGCAGCAGUGGGGAAUAUUGAACAAUGGGCGAAAGCCUGAUUCAGCAAUGCCGCGUGUGUGAAGAAGGCCUGCGGGUUGUAAAGCACUUUCAGUGGGGAAGAAAUGCCUAGGGUUAAUACCCCUGGGUCUUGACGUUACCUACAGAAGAAGCUCCGCUAACU
rnacentral:rRNA from 1 species